CGCUGAUCGCACCGCCCGCACGACUGGUUCCAGCGCAUCCCAGGAAAGCAGAGGACUGAGAGAGCAGAUGAGCGUGCAGGGGGGCGGCGGGGAGAGCACGGAGAGCGCCAGAGAGCGCCAGCAGCAAUCUCCCCGACCUGGGUUUGAUCCCCAGCACCCCACGUGGUCCCCUGAGCACCAUCUAGAGCGAUUCCUGAGUGCAGAGCCAGGAGGAACCCCUGAGCAUCACCUGGUGUGGCCCCUAAACUAAAACACACAGAGACAAGAAUGGAUGGAAAGAUGGAAGUUAGGGUGGACGGAAGAAGGGAAGGUGGAUGUCUGCGUGGGAGGGAAACAGGGAGAUGGGCAGCCCUCACAGCCAGCUCUCUGCUCGGGCUUUGACCAUCGCUGGGACCCUGCGCCAAGAGGACGGAGGCCGAUCUCAUUAGAGGUCAGAUUCCGAGAUGAGUUUCCCGGGCUCCUGCCUCUCGGCAGUAAGAGCAGCUCGGCCAGAGGCAACCGGGCCUGAUUCUGCUGAGCGGGCGGUUCUGCACACUUGGCUCGAGCUCAACACGCCUUGAGUUGAGGAUCUCCUUGGCCACACCGCCUCGCGCCGGCCCCCCCUCUGGCCCCGCUCGUCCAAGGGGAGACGCAGCCCCCCCCCCCCACUCACACACCCUGGCCACUCUCUUCCGCAGGGCUGCGGUGCAGACGCCCCCGGCGGCCUCUGCAGGGACCCCGGCUGGCCAGUCCUCUCCCAGAGCCCGAAGCCUUCCCCGAGGCCCCCGCCCAGGUCAGCUCUAGCUCACAGCACCCGCUGGCCUCGGGGAGGCUCCCGGACGGCCUCUGUGUGGGCGUGAAAUCUCAGCAGGACUCUGUGCACCGCCCACCGCCAGCCCAGGGAUUAGGAUUCCGGCGGCACAGCCACAUGGCUCCACAUCCCCCACGCACACGCACGCGCGCGCGCACACACACACACACACACACACACACACAGACACACACACACUCACACGCGGGCAGGAUUGUGGCAUUUGGGGCUGGUGAGUGAUGGAUAACAGCUGAUUCCCGCCGCAUUCAUUCACCCUCAUUGACCUCUUCCUGCCUUAAUUGUGGAGGGCGCAGAGCGGCUCUGACGACAGCCUCUGAAAUGCUAAUUCCAUCCUUCCAGCACGCAAACAAGCCCCCGCUUCAGCCCGGCCCAAGGAGGAAGCCGGAGUCUCCUUCAGCUGAGACGCCUGAUGAGGGGUUCUGCAGGGCAGAGCCACCCAGCCCCUCCAGCAUGCCCAGCAGGCCCCUGCACGCA